rnacentral:lncRNA from 1 species
AGCAGCCCCCCCACCAACACCCCCCCCCCUCCGGCUGGCAGGGACACGGAGUACGAGGACACGGAGGAUGACGACCCCUUCACCCCUCAGGCACGUAGCCCCCCGCCCCGCUCCAGCCUGCGCCUCUCGGCCCCACCCAUUUCCAACGCCCCCGUCUCACAGUACAUGAAUCAAAGCGGUUCGUUCAGUGGCAGUCCUCGAUAUGAUAGCGUGCCCCUCCUCGACCGGCACUCCCCGCCCCCCUCGGCAGCUCGCAGCUCCUCCCGACGCAGGCCGGGUUCCCUUCCAGCCUGGGACCAGUCUUUCUAGCUCAAAGCUUUUGUCUUCCGGACCAUUUUCUGGGUGUGGAGAUGGGGGAGGAGAGAGGCCAAGUGAGGACGUCCUGGUCCCUUUUUCAUACUUGCUUCCAGCUGCUAGAAAGAUCCGCACGGGUCAGGCAGCCCCCAUUGGUCGAGCAGUUCAGAAAAGAACUAGAUAAGUUGCUGGAGGAUCGGUCCCAUCAAUGGCUAUUAGCAGGCAGGGCCGGCACUUCCAUUAGGCGACCCUAGGCGGUCGCCUAGGGCGCCAGGAUUCGGGGGGUGGCAUUUUGUGCACUCCGCACGGGGCGCAUGGGAGCUUCCUGUUCCGCUCCCAUGGCGCCGCCGAAGAAGGACCUUCUGCCGACGUGCUGUGGAAAACAGCGGCAGGCAAUUG